rnacentral:tRNA from 1 species
GGAAGUCAUCCGGCUGGAUGAGGGGCCUGUCUCGAAAACAGGUGCGGUUCACCCCGUUGUGGGUUCGAGUCCCACGACUUCCGC